GACGAACGCUGGCGGCGUGCUUAACACAUGCAAGUCGAACGGAAAGGCCCUGCUUUUGUGGGGUGCUCGUGUGGCGAACGGGUGUGUAACACGCGAGUAACCUGCCCUUGACUUUGGGAUAACUUCAGGAAACUGGGGCGAAUACCGGAUAGGAGCUCCUGCUGCAUGGGGGGGGUUGGAAAGUGUCGGCGGUUGGGGCUGGACUCGCGGCUUAUCAGCUUGUUUGUGGGGUAGUGGCUUACCAAGGCUUCGACGGGUAGCCGGCCUGAGAGGGUGACCGGCCACCAUGGGACUGAGGUACGGACCAGACUCCUACCGGAGGCAGCAGUGGAGAAUAUUGCACAAUGGCCGGACGCCUGAUACAGCAACGCCGCGUGCGGGAUGCCGGCCUUCGGGUUGUAAACCGCUUUCGAAUGUGACGAAGCGUGAGUGACGGUAAUGGGUAAAGAAGCACCGGCUAACUACGUG
rnacentral:rRNA from 1 species